ensembl:lncRNA
CUCUGGUCCUGGCAUGAUUUGCAUCCAGGAACCAGGCCUGCAUGGUGGGAAGCCCUCCAGCCUACCCCUUGUCGCACUGGCCUUUGGGACACAGGAAAGCCUCCUGUUAGUUCCUUCCAGCAUGCUGCAACCCUGUCUCCUGGCUGGGCAGAGGGAGCCAGAGGCUACAGGGUCAGCACCAGCACACCAGCACCGGGCCACCCUGUCACUGAAUGGAAGUGGAGGGGCUGGCUCCCGAGCCGGGAUCUCCAGCAGGCAGCCCUGACAUUUUCCUCAGCCACACGUCGGCUCUCCAGGACAGAGAUCUCACCUUGCCGCCCAACUGGAGUCCUGUCUGCUGUGUAUGUUCUUGUUCUGUUGCGUGUCUGUGCUGAGAGCAAUCCAGUCACGCCCUAAAAUAAAGUCCACCCACCCCACUCUUUUUCUUCCAUGAGAACAAGAGGGCAGUGACUGG